AUGCACGAUCGUUUAGGACAUGCCUCCUUUCCUUUAGUUGACAAGUUGCUUAGGAAAAAUAAGCUCCCGUUUGUUGGUGAGCGUCAUGUUGAAACAAUUUAUGAUUCAUGUCAACGAGCAAAAGGUCAUCAAUUACCAUACCCUGUUUCUACUAGUGUUUCUACCAAACCUCUCCAACUUAUUUUUUCUGAUGUUUGGGGUCCAGCCCCACACUCUGUUGGUAGACAUACGUAUUAUGUUAGUUUUAUUGAUGACUACAGUAAAUUCUCUUGGAUCUAUCUUCUCAAACGAAGAUCAGAUGUCUUUCAAGUUUUCCAAAACUUCCAAGCUCUUGUUGAACGCAAGUUUGAUAGCAAAAUAAUUGCUGUCCAAUCAGACUGGGGAGGGGAGUACGAAAAGUUGAACUCCUUCUUCCAAAAUCUUGGUAUCUCUCACCACAUAUCAUGUCCACACGCUCACCAACAAAACGGCUCAGCUGAACGCAAG
rnacentral:rRNA from 1 species